rnacentral:rRNA from 1 species
UUGACCUCAAAUCAGGCGGGACUACCCGCUGAACUUAAGCAUAUCAAUAAGCGGAGGAAAAGAAACUAACAAGGAUUCCCCUAGUAACUGCGAGUGAAGCGGGAUGAGCUCAAAUUUAAAAUCUGGCGUCUUCGGCGUCCGAGUUGUAAUUUAGAGAAGUGUUUUCCGCGUCGGACCGUGUACAAGUCUCCUGGAACGGAGCGUCAUAGAGGGUGAGAAUCCCGUCUUUGACACGGACCCCCGAUGCUAUGUGAUACGCUCUCGAAGAGUCGAGUUGUUUGGGAAUGCAGCUCAAAAUGGGUGGUGAACUCCAUCUAAAGCUAAAUAUUGGCGAGAGACCGAUAGCGAACAAGUACCGUGAGGGAAAGAUGAAAAGCACUUUGGAAAGAGAGUGAAACAGUACGUGAAAUUGUUGAAAGGGAAACGCUUGAAGUCAGUCGCGUCCGCCGGGAUUCAGCCGCAAGGUGUACUUUCCGGUGGACGGGCCAGCAUCACUUUCGAUCAUCGGAAAAGGGCGUGAGGAAUGUGGCACCUCCGGGUGUGUUAUAGCCUCUCGUCGUAUACGGUGACCGGGAGUGAGGACCGCCUUUGUAGGAUGCUGGCGUAAUGGCUUUAAACGACCCGUCUUGAAACACGGACCAAGGAGUCUAACAUGCCCGCGAGUGUU